GGAAAACAUUCCAUUUCAACGGCUUUCCCUCCCCAUGUGCUACAUACUAAAUCAGUGCUACGGUUUACUUCCACUUGGAGAAAAUGAAGAUAGCAGAGAAGGAAAGGAAAGUAAAAGUCAUGUAAAAGUGGGUCUGGAGUAAACAACAGAAGAACUGGGCUAUUUCUGAAAGAACAUGACCACCUUCAAAACGAUAUGAACUGUGUCCCCAUCAGGAUGGAGCCUAAAAAAGAACAGAUAAUGGGGGUAAGUGCAGAGAUUUCUUGAAAAAAAUUUUAUUGAAAACUGGGGCUGUGGAGUAUCUUCAAAUACCUGGUAGUUUAUUUUAUUUCAUCAAAUUAACCAGCGUUUUCCACUCAUAUUUAACAGUAGUGGCUGUAAUUUAUGAAUCCUUAUUGUAUUGACCCACAAUUUUUCUACUUUGUGGACAAACAAGCAUUGGAUAUUUUAUGCAGAA